GUCGACCUCGUGUUAGGGUAGAGUACCCGCCAAAUUUAA
rnacentral:rRNA from 2 species